rnacentral:rRNA from 1 species
CAGCAGCCACGGUAAUACAGAGGGUGCGAGCGUUAAUCUGAUUUACUGGGCGUAAAGCGUGCGUAGGCGGCUUCUUAAGUCGGAUGUGAAAUCCCUGAGCUUAACUUAGGAAUUGCAUUCGAUACUGGGAAGCUAGAGUAUGGGAGAGGAUGGUAGAAUUCCAGGUGUAGCGGUGAAAUGCGUAGAGAUCUGGAGGAAUACCGAUGGCGAAGGCAGCCAUCUGGCCUAAUACUGACGCUGAGGUACGAAAGCAUGGGGAGCAAACAGGAUUAGAUACCCGCGUAGUCCCUGUCUCUUAUAU